rnacentral:rRNA from 1 species
CUACGGGAGGCUCCAGUGGGGAAUAUUGCACAAUGGAGGAAACUCUGAUGCAGCAACGCCGCGUGGAGGAUGACACUUUUCGGAGCGUAAACUCCUUUUAUAUAGGAAGAAGAUGACGGUACUAUAUGAAUAAGCGCCGGCUAACUCCGUGCCAGCAGCCGCGGUAAUACGGAGGGCGCAAGCGUUACUCGGAAUCACCGGGCGUAAAGAGCGUGUAGGCGGAUUAAAAAGUCAGAAGUGAAAUCCUAUAGCUUAACUAUAGAACUGCUUCUGAAACCCUUAAUCUAGAAUGUGGGAGAGGUAGAUGGAAUUUCUGGUGUAGGGGUAAAAUCCGUAGAGAUCAGAAGGAAUACCGAUUGCGAAGGCGAUCUACUAGAACAUUAUUGACGCUGAGACGCGAAAGCGUGGGGAGCAAACAGGAUUAGAUACCCGGGUAGUC